CAUGUGUGGCUAAUAUAGAUGCAAAUUUAACGGGUUACUUUAAGUUUUUAAGUAAUAGUGGUGGGCAAUUCGGUUGCAAAUUAGGGGGUUAUUUUAAAUAUUGUUUAUAAUGGUAUAAGUGGGUAAUUUUGAUGAAGAUUAGGGGGUUACUUUAGUUUAUUUUAUAUAAUGACAGAUGUGGGUAAUUUAUAUAUAGAUUUAGGGGUUACUUUAGGCUAUUUUUAUAAUGGCAUAGGUGGGUAAUUUUUUAGAAAACAUAAUAGAUCCAAUGGCUAUGAUGA
rnacentral:lncRNA from 1 species